AACGAACGCUGGCGGCAUGCCUAACACAUGCAAGUCGAACGAGACCUUCGGGUCUAGUGGCGCACGUGUGCGUAACGCGUGGGAACCUGCCCUUAGGUUCGGAAUAACUCCCCGAAAGGGGUGCUAAUACCGGAUAAUGUCUUCGGACCAAAGAUUUAUCGCCUUUGGAUGGGCCCGCGUUGGAUUAGCUAGUUGGUAGGGUAAAAGCCUACCAAGGCGACGAUCCAUAGCUGGUCUGAGAGGAUGAUCAGCCACACUGGGACUGAGACACGGCCCAGACUCCUACGGGAGGCAGCAGUGGGGAAUAUUGGACAAUGGGCGAAAGCCUGAUCCAGCAAUGCCGCGUGAGUGAUGAAGGCCUUAGGGUUGUAAAGCUCUUUUACCCGGGAUGAUAAUGACAGUACCGGGAGAAUAAGCUCCGGCUAACUCCGUG
rnacentral:rRNA from 1 species